UCAUGUAACUAAUGUUACCCAUAUAGAGGUGAAUUAAAUGAGGCAAAAAACCCCAACUUCAAUAUCUACUUUUCAUUUUCUAAUGAUUUCAAA